GUAAGCUAGAAGUACUUUACUUGCAAGUAGUACUUAAAUUUCAGCACUUUAAAUUCCUUGCUUGCAAAAGGGAGUGAGAACAUUUUUUUGUAAAGAGGACGGGUUGUGUUCUAUUUUGCUCAUCAUAGGAAUGGUGCCAACGGAGAGGCUACUGAUAGUACCUGGCACUAUUUGACCCAACUAUUUGGUGUUAGGGUAUAGAGGGACGGCACAAGAGGGAGGCUACUGGUAGUACCUCGUGCCCUCCUAACUACACCGGGUAGGGAGCAAGUAGAGCAACAACACGUUUCUCUCGGGUUGUGAGGCUUAUUUAUUGUAAACCAUUAUUGUAAUUGGAGGUGAUUGAGUGGUGUACCUUUCA
rnacentral:lncRNA from 1 species